rnacentral:rRNA from 1 species
GACGAACGCUGGCGGCGUGCCUAAUACAUGCAAGUAGAACGCUGAAGGAGGAGCUUGCUUCUCUGGAUGAGUUGCGAACGGGUGAGUAACGCGUAGGUAACCUGCCUGGUAGCGGGGGAUAACUAUUGGAAACGAUAGCUAAUACCGCAUAAGAGUAGAUGUUGCAUGACAUUUGCUUAAAAGGUGCAAUUGCAUCACUACCAGAUGGACCUGCGUUGUAUUAGCUAGUUGGUGAGGUAACGGCUCACCAAGGCGACGAUACAUAGCCGACCUGAGAGGGUGAUCGGCCACACUGGGACUGAGACACGGCCCAGACUCCUACGGGAGGCAGCAGUAGGGAAUCUUCGGCAAUGGACGGAAGUCUGACCGAGCAACGCCGCGUGAGUGAAGAAGGUUUUCGGAUCGUAAAGCUCUGUUGUAAGAGAAGAACGAGUGUGAGAGUNGAAAGUUCACACNGNGACG